CGGCGCGGGAGAGCCGCGCUUGGGGCGCCCUCCGCGCAGGACCGCGGCCGGUCCUUCCCGGCGCGCAUGUUGGCGAAGGAUGCUGGCGGGUCACGAGUGCGCCCAAGCACGCAGGCGCUGCAGGCUGCGCGUGUGCAUGGGGACGUACACGUGAGUGUAGGGCUGGGGUGGGGGGCGGCGGAGGGGGCUGGAGAAAAGGGCAGCCUGCGCUCUGCAAGGGUCCUGGAGAGGUGGCGGGGUCCCUGGCAGCAUCUGCCUUGGGGAGGGCGGAGAGAGAGGCCAAGGAGGGCGGACUGGGGAGAGAUGAGGGGCUGGCAGCCGGGCUGGCAGAGAGACCCAGAAGCCGCCAGGAAGUGGAAGCUGCAUUGGGGGGGGGGGAUCUCCUGUAUUUCUUAUCUCUUCCUGGGCCGAGUGAACGAGAGAACUGGCAAUCUGCAAAGAGGUUUUUCGCGCGCUCUUUUUAACAGGCGCUGCAUCCCAUAAUCCAGGGGCACCAGACGGCCUGGCGUGGGGGGGGUAUUGGGCUGUGAGAGAGAAUCCCACCUCCCAAACUGAAUCUGUUGUUUUCCAGGGAAGCCUCAGCGGCACAAUGUGCUCUUAGAGGUCCAUAGGGCAAGUUCUGUCUUCUACGGAUCAUCUGGUGUCAGUUUGGAGGAGAGGAGUGAUUCCUUCCCCCAUAAAACUCCCCCUCAAUGCCCCCCUGGAAAGGAAGAGCAUCUGUGUGCAGGCAGAGGCUGAGCUGGAAACCAGGAAGUUAUUGACACUUCACCUCUGUCAGGUGAUCUCAGGUAAUCUGCUCUCAGCUGUGGCCCUCCUGUUUGCAGCAUGGCAAAGGAAUGAAGGUGGUGAUGGUAGCCCACUCCCCAGGUUGUUGUAAGGACUACUGAGAUGAUGGCAUGAAGUGUGUUGCAACACACUAAACGGAGCAGGAUUUGGGACAACUUCCAUUCUCAUAAAAUUUCAGCAGACCUAAAGAACUGUUUUUAAACCCUUUAUCAAUGAUAUUUAAUGCCAUAUAAAUUGAAUUUAAUGUAUAAUUAGGAUUGGAUAAGUGUUGAAGAUUUGGAUUAAAUAAAGCAAAUUACAUGCAUAUCGUUUGGAAUUCUCAAAUAGAAUUAUUCUGGAAAUCUGUUCAGGCUUAUAUCUUUUUACAUGUUAAGAUAUCAUAUCCCCUUGGAACCUUAAGAAUUUUUGCUUGGAUAUCUAAAAUAUAUUAUUCUGGAAAAUGAUAAAUAAAUAGUGUUCAACCUUGAUGGAAGCAAGGUGGUGGUGGUUGUUAUUAUUAUACUAGCUAAAAAUGGGGGGGGGGGAGCGUAUAUCCUUCUAUAUCUGAAUUGAUUGAGAUUUGGUCUAUACUGACCAUGAUUCAGCUAAUUUAUUACAAAAGGG